CCUACGGGUGGCUGCAGUCGAGGAUCUUCGGCAAUGGGCGCAAGCCUGACCGAGCGACGCCGCGUGAGCGAUGAAGGCCUUCGGGUCGUAAAGCUCUGUCGAGGGGGAGAAAAGGGCAACCUUGAUCGACCCCUGGAGGAAGCACGGGCUAAGUUCGUGCCAGCAGCCGCGGUAAGACGAACCGUGCGAACGUUAUUCGGAAUCAUUGGGCUUAAAGGGCGCGUAGGCGGGCCGGAUAGUCAGGGGUGAAAGCCUCCAGCUCAACUGGAGAAGCGCCUCUGAUACUGUCGGCCUCGAGGGGUGCAGGGGCAUGCGGAACUCAGGGUGGAGCGGUGAAAUGCGUAGAUAUCCUGAGGAACACCGGUGGCGAAAGCGGCGUGCUGGACACCUUCUGACGCUGAGGCGCGAAAGCCAGGGGAGCGAACGGGAUUAGAUACCCUUGUAGUC
rnacentral:rRNA from 1 species